GAUGAACGCUAGCGAUAGGCUUAACACAUGCAAGUCGAGGGGCAGCAUGGUCUUAGCUUGCUAAGACUGAUGGCGACCGGCGCACGGGUGCGUAACGCGUAUGCAACUUGCCUCACAGAGGGGGAUAACCCGUCGAAAGACGGACUAAUACCGCGUACACUUGGGAUAGGGCAUCCUGACCCAAGGAAAUGAAAUUCGCUGUGAGAUAGGCAUGCGUCCCAUUAGCUAGUUGGUGAGGUAACGGCUCACCAAGGCGACGAUGGGUAGGGGAACUGAGAGGGUGACCCCCCACACUGGUACUGGGACACGGACCAGACUCCUACGGGAGGCAGCAGUGAGGAAUAUUGGUCAAUGGGCGAGAGCCUGAACCAGCCAAGUCGCGUGAAGGAUGACUGUCUUAUGGAUUGUAACCUUCUUUUAGACGGGAAUAACAAGAGCCACGUGUGGCUCCCUGCAUGUACCGUAUGAAUAAGCAUCGGCUAACUCCGUG
rnacentral:rRNA from 1 species